AUGGCGUCGGCCAGCUUCAUCGCCCGCUGCGUCUCCGUCCCCGCGCGCCUCAUCGCCAACCCCACGCCCCUCGCCAUCACCACCUGCAGGCUGCGGCGGCUUGGCGCCGUGGGAGCGAGGCCGGUGUGCGCUGCCGGGAGGAUGCUCGGCUCCGUCAGAUACGGCACCGGAGCAGCGUCGGGCCCCAAGGAAGCCAAUGCGGAGGUGGCCGCCGUGCCGCCGUCGGUGCCGGUGCGCGUCGCCUACAAGCUGCAGCUGGCCGGCCACCGCUACCUCGACGUCAGAACGGAGGGUGAGUUCGGCGGCGGGCAUCCGGCAGGAGCGGUGAACAUCUCCUACAUGCACAGCACCGGCUCAGGGAUGGCGAAAAACUCGGGCUUUCUAGAGCAAGUGUCGGCGAUAUUCAGGAGGGAAGACGAGAUCAUCAUUGGUUUCACUGGCGUGACCGACAUCGCCGGAGGGUUUUUGGCUUGGAAGGAGAACGAGCUGCCGAUCAACCAGUGA
rnacentral:rRNA from 1 species